GACGAACGCUAGCGGCAGGCUUAAUACAUGCAAGUCGUGGGGUAGCAGGACUAUAGCAAUACAGUUGCUGGCGACCGGCAAACGGGUGCGGAACACGUACGCUACUUACUCUGUACUGGGGGAUAGCCGGGGGAAACCCUGAUACAUACUCCGUAAUAUAAUGGAGUGGCAUCAUUUUGUUAUUAAAGCUCCGGGGGUUCGGGAUGGGCGUGCGGCUGAUUAGGUAGUUGGUUGAGGUAACGGCUCACCAAGCCUACGAUCAGUAACUGGUGUGAGAGCACGACCAGUCACACGGGCACUGAGACACGGGCCCGACUCCUACGGGAGGCAGCAGUAAGGAAUAUUGGGCAAUGGAGGCAACUCUGACCCAGCCAUGCCGCGUGGAGGAUGAAGGCCCUCUGGGUUGUAAACUUCUUUUAUAGGGGACGAAACCUGUGUAUUCUUACGCAGUUGACGGUACCCUAGGAAUAAGCACCGGCUAACUCCGUG
rnacentral:rRNA from 1 species